AUGCACGCUGGCGGCGUGCCUAAUCCCUGCAAGUCGAGCGAACGGACGAGAAGCUUGCUUCUCUGAUGUUAGCGGCGGACGGGUGAGUAACACGUGGAUAACCUACCUAUAAGACUGGGAUAACUUCGGGAAACCGUAGCUAAUACCGGAUAAUAUUUUGAACCGCAUGGUUCAAAAGUGAAAGACGGUCUUGCUGUCACUUAUAGAUGGAUCCGCGCUGCAUUAGCUAGUUGGUAAGGUAACGGCUUACCAAGGCAACGAUGCAUAGCCGACCUGAGAGGGUGAUCGGCCACACUGGAACUGAGACACGGUCCAGACUCCUACGGGAGGCAGCAGUAGGGAAUCUUCCGCAAUGGGCGAAAGCCUGACGGAGCAACGCCGCGUGAGUGAUGAAGGUCUUCGGAUCGUAAAACUCUGUUAUUAGGGAAGAACAUAUGUGUAAGUAACUGUGCACAUCUUGACGGUACCUAAUCAGAAAGCCACGGCUAACUACGUG
rnacentral:rRNA from 1 species